rnacentral:lncRNA from 1 species
CAGAGAGAUGGGAGACCCCAUCACCCAGCACCAAGAGAGCUCUCAAGCCAUGCAGACAACGGGACUCCUCAGAAAUUCACACGAAGUUGCCUGGGCUGGUGACUAUGGGAAUGAACUCCUGCAUUCACCAUAUGGAUCCGAAGGAACUAGAUUGGCAAGCACUGCUUGCACAGUGUGACACCACAACUCCAUUUUCCAUGGGCCUAAGUGUGGUUUACUUCUCCUGACUGGACCUUGAGCGCUGGAGAGCCCUACAUGAGAAGAGACCACCCUACAUGAGAAGUGACCACCCUACAUGGCACAGCACCAGCUUCCUCUGGAACCAGCGUGAAGCAUCCCUGAGAAAUAGCGAAUGGAAUGCAGCCUCAGCAUAUCAGUCCACCUCCGAUGUCACAUGGGCCAUGCAUGUGCGCCAGAUCCUAAGUGAACAACCAGAAACCACAGAGGACAGAACCGGAAGAGACUGCAGUUGUCAUGUGGUCCCAGUUCAUCAGUUUACAGAUGGGGAAACUGAGAGCUAGACAUGAGUUGUUCUAAGAGAACUUAGACAAGGUCACACAAGGAGUUCAUGGGGC